rnacentral:rRNA from 1 species
AUACCGGGCCUUUUUGGGCUUGGUAAUUGGAAUGAGGGAGAGUUAAACGGACCAUCGAGUAUCCAUUGGAGGGCAAGUCUGGUGCCAGCAGCUGCGGUAAUACCAGCUCCAAUAGCGUAUAUUAAAGUUGUUGCAGUUAAAAAGCUCGUAGUUGGACUUGUGUGCGCUGUCCGCGGGUGGCCUGCGCCCAAAAGGGCGUUUCGGUCCGGCCCCGGUGGCGCCUUGAAAUCUGCAGCUGGGGGGACGUUGGCCUUAACUGGUCGGCGACCGCACGCCGGCUGCUCGGUUACUGUGAGAAAAUUAGAGUGUUCAAGGCAGGCAUUGGGUGCAAUUGAAUACAUUAGCAUGGAAUAAUAAAAUAUGGCUCCUGCCGUAUUUUGUUGGUUUUGACUGGUGGGAGUAAUGAUUGAUAGGGACGGUUGGGGGUGCUAGUAUUGAGCGGCCAGAGGUGAAAUUCAUGGAUUCGCUCAAGACUAACUUAUGCGAAAGCAUUCACCAAGGACGUCCUCUUUAAUCAAGAACGAAAGUUGGGGGAUCGAAGACGAUCAGAUACCGUCGUAGUCUCAACCAUAAACUAUGUCGACUUGGGAUCGGCGGUAGUUUUUUCAUUAAGACACUGUCGGGACCACGGGAGAAAUCAAAGUGUCUGGACUCUGGGGGAAGUAUGGUCGCAAGGCUGAAACUUGAAGGAAUUGACGGAAGGGCACCACCAGGAGUGGAGCCUGCGGCUUAAUUUGACCCAACACGGGGAAACUUACCAGGUCCAGAGAUGUAGAGGAUUGACAGAUUGAAGCUCUUUCUUGAUCACUUCGGUGGUGGUGCAUGGCCGUUCUUAGUUGGUGGAGUGAUUUGUCUGGUUAAUUCCGUUAACGAACGAGACCUCAGCCUGCUAGUGUAGUCGGCUGGAUUGCCUUUGGCGAUCCGUGAUUUCGACUUCUUAGAGGGACAAUCGACGCGCAGUCGAUGGAAGUUUGAGGCAAUAACAGGUCUGUGAUGCCCUUAGAUGUUCUGGGCCGCACGCGCGCUACACUGCUGGGCUCAGCGAGUUUUACUUGGCCGAGAGGUCCGGUUAAUCUUGUGAAAUCCCAGCGUGCUUGGGCUCGCCUCCUGCAACUGGAGGCGCCAACGAGGAAUUCCUAGUAGACGCAGGUCAUCAACCUGCAUCGAUUACGUCCCUGCCCUUUGUACACACCGCCCGUCGUUCCAUAAGAGUGAGGCAUCCGGUGAAUUCUCGGGAGAGCCUGGGCGUGGCCAGCAAUGGUCUGCUCGGGUUUGAACUUGCAUAAACUUGGUGCCUAUGAUUAGGG